rnacentral:lncRNA from 1 species
UAAUAUCAUAUACUUUAUCCCUUCCCUUCCUGCAGCAUCCCAAAGCCCUUCCCAAGCUGGUUCCUGUGGCUGCUUCUGAAACAGUCCUGCCCACUCGGCUCUACCACUGUGCCCACCGAGGCUGAGAGGAGGAGGAUGGACAGAGAGGAGGAGGAGGAUGACCCUGUUCACCUACAACAGAGGAGAACAAAAGCCAAGCCAAGAGGACCAUCUCCAAACCCUGCUUCCCUCCCAGCUCACCUACAGCGAGCGGGCAAACGGCCACUACCCCAGUGAAACGCAUCCAAGCAUCCCAUCUUGGAGAAAACCCUUUUUGAGAGCUCACAGAAGGUCCCUAGGUGGCAACACUGCUCCUCCUGACCCUCCUGCCAGUCUCCUCGCGGUUGAUAGGCUUCCUGAAAGCUCCUGCUUAUGUGACUAAGUGAGACCUUAAACUUCCAUUCACAAAUAAAAGUGAGAAAAAAGAGUAUACAUUUGAUGCUGGGGGUGGCAAAGGAAAGCGUAAACUUGUGAUCGCUGAAGGGCUCUGCCAUCUGAAGGCAAAUUGCAGGAACAACCAAAACACCCAAGAAUUUAUUUAUUUAAAAGAAAUAACAAGAUUUUAAAGCCCGGUUUGUGACACUGAGAGGUGACUCAUGAUCCCUAAAUGCUUUGGGUUGUGCUUAGGUAUUUCUAUAACUGGCAGCCCAAGAAAUAACAGUUGCAGAAGAUGGUUCAGCCCCUCCAGCCCCCGUGAGUGGGACCGAGGAUGCUCUGCUGGGGCCACGGCACCGGGGGACCCCUCGCUCCGUCCCCACACCCCUCCGUGUGGGCUGAAGCUCUCCAGAGGUGAGAUGCAGAUCUCCAUCGCUGUUGGCAGAGUGUGGCCCCCGUCCAGGCAGCCCCAAAUACAAACUCGGUACAGAAUCCUGAGCACAGACACGGGCUGGAGGAGAAAAAUGCCCACCCCACCCUGCUCACUGCAUUUUCAGGGGAAAAGCAUCAUCAGAGACCCGAUAGCUCUGGAAAUGGAUUUGAUUGCCUUAUCAUACUCCCUACUAUAUCUUCCCCCCCACACCCCCAAAUAAGCCUAAAAUCUCUCCUGCUGCGUUACUACCCAGACAAGGAUGAAAUCAGCC